GAUGAACGCUGGCGGCGUGCCUAAUACAUGCAAGUCGAGCGAACGGACGAGAAGCUUGCUUCUCUGAUGUUAGCGGCGGACGGGUGAGUAACACGUGGAUAAACUAACUAUAAGACUGGGAUAACUUCGGGAAACCGUAGCUAAUACCGGAUAAUAUUUUGAACAGCAUGGUUAAAAAGUGAAAGACGGUCUUGCUGUCACUUAUAGAUGGAUCCGCGCUGCAUUAGCUAGUUGGUAAGGUAACGGCUUACCAAGGCAACGAUGCAUAGCCGACAUGAGAGGGUGAUCGGCCACACUGGAACUGAGACACGGUCCAGACUCCUACGGGAGGCAGCAGUAGGGAAUCUUCCGCAAUGGGCGAAAGCCUGACGGAGCAACGACGCGUGAGUGAUGAAGGUCUUCGGAUCGUAAAACUCUGUUAUUAGGGAAGAACAUAUGUGUAAGUAACUGUGCACAUCUUGACGGUACCUAAUCAGAAAGCCACGGCUAACUACGUG
rnacentral:rRNA from 1 species